rnacentral:tRNA from 1 species
CGGAGUGUGGCUCAGUUGGUAGAGCGCCGCGUUUGGGACGCGGAGGUCCCCGGUUCGAGUCCGGGCACUCCGACCA